rnacentral:rRNA from 1 species
AACGAACGCUGGCGGCAUGCCUAAUACAUGCAAGUCGAACGAGACUUUUGGGAGUAGUGGUGCACGGGUGUGUAAGGGGUGGGAAGCUGAACUUAGGUUCGGAAUAACUGCCAGAAAGGGGUGCUAAUAGCGGAUAAUGUCUUCGGACCAAAGAUUUAUCGCCUUUGGAUGGGCCCGCGUUGGAUUAGCCAGUUGGUAGGGUAAAAGCCUACCAAGGCGACGAAUCAUAGCUGGUCUGAGAGGAUGGUCAGCCACCCUGGGACUGCGACACGGCCCAGACUCCUACGGAAGGCAGCAAGUGGGAAUAUUCAACAAUGGGCGAAAGCCUGAUCCAGCAAGGCCGCGUAAGUCAUGAAGCCCUUAGGAUUGUGUAGCUCUUUUACCCGGGAUGAUAAUGACGGUACCGGGAGAAUAAGCUCCGGCUAACUCCGUG